rnacentral:rRNA from 1 species
UUUUAAGCUUUUCAGAGGAAUUUGCUCUUUAAUGGAUAAAACACCUAAAUCUUACUUGAAUUUGUUAAGUCAAUUUGUAUACCACUAUAAAAACAAUUAAUAACUUUAAUUGUUUAAAUUUAUUAAAUUAAAUUAUGUUAAGUCAAGGUGCAGUAAAAAUUUAAGAAUGAAGUGAAUUACAUUUCUUUUUAGAAAUAAAAAAUUAAACUCACAAAUA